rnacentral:lncRNA from 1 species
CUAGUCACCAGUACCCACUCCGACUACUCGCGAAAGGCUUUGAUGGUUUACGGUUUGGCUUUUGCCUUUUGCAAUUUGGCUUUGCCCCUUCUCUCUCUAUUUUGUGGUGUGCUGAACAUAUAUUGAUGUAUGAGAUUUAGGACUGAGGCUUGACCGCUUGGGUAUCUCUAAUUAAAAAAAAAAUCUGAGUGGGUCAAAAAUUGAGUGGAGUAAAAUUUUUUUUUUAAGUGCUUUCAAAAAUUGAGUGGGGUCAAUUGACCCCACAUUUUUUGCAUAGAUUCGCCCCUGGAUGAUGCUAUGUUAUUAACAGUAAUG